rnacentral:rRNA from 1 species
GAAUUCGCCUUCUGGUUGAUCCUGCCGGAGAUUACCGUUAUCAGAAUUCGACUAAGCCAUGUUGAGGUAUGUUAGAUUUGGGCUCGCCGAACUGCUCAGAAAUGAGGGACAUGCCCUCAAGCGGGGGAUAAUCUUGGAAAUCUGAGGCUAAACUUCAUAGCGGGUUGGAUGCUGGAAUGCUUCAACAGUCAAAGCUCCGGCACUUGAGGAUUGGGCUGCGGCCUAUCAUGGCUGUUGUGAGUGUAAAGUACUCACAAACCUUUAACGGGUAGGGGUCAUGAGAGUGGGAGCCUCGAGAUGCCUUCUGAGACAUGAAGGCAGGUCCUACGGGACGCAGCAGGCGCGAAAACUUUCCAAUGGUUUAACGACUGAGAAGGGAAUUCUGAGUGCAUGCAUUUUAUGCAUGCUUUUUAUCCAGCCCAAAAAGCUGGGUGAAUAAGUGGGUGGGUAAGACGGGGUGGGCAGCCGCCGGCGGUAAUACCCGCGGCCAACAAAUGGGUAAAUCACCGCUUAUUUGGGG